UGGGGAAUAUUGCACAAUGGGCGAAAGCCUGAUGCAGCGACGCCGCGUGAGGGAUGACAGCCUUCGGGUUGUAAACCUCUUUCAGCAGGGAAGAAGCGAAAGUGACGGUACCUGCAGAAGAAGCGCCGGCUAACUACGUGCCAGCAGCCGCGGUAAUACGUAGGGCGCAAGCGUUGUCCGGAAUUAUUGGGCGUAAAGAGCUCGUAGGCGGUUAGUCGCGUCUGCUGUGAAAAUCUCGAGGCUCAACCUCGGGCUUGCAGUGGGUACGGGCUGACUAGAGUGCGGUAGGGGUGACUGGAAUUCCUGGUGUAGCGGUGGAAUGCGCAGAUAUCAGGAGGAACACCGAUGGCGAAGGCAGGUCACUGGGCCGCAACUGACGCUGAGGAGCGAAAGCAUGGGGAGCGAACAGGAUUAGAUAGCCCUGGUAGUCCAUGCCGUAAACGUUGGGCACUAGGUGUGGGG
rnacentral:rRNA from 1 species